rnacentral:rRNA from 1 species
AACUUUCAACAACGGAUCUCUUGGUUCUGGCAUCGAUGAAGAACGCAGCGAAAUGCGAUAAGUAAUGUGAAUUGCAGAAUUCAGUGAAUCAUCGAAUCUUUGAACGCACAUUGCGCCCCGUGGUAUUCCCGCGGGGCAUGCCUGUUCGAGCGUCAUU